rnacentral:lncRNA from 1 species
AUUUUUUCAAGAAACAGCAACAGUAUACACACUUUUAUUAUAUAUUCCCUUUUAGUAGAAGCCCUAUAGAAUAAAUCGAAAUAAAAAAAAGUUCGGAAAUAUUUCGCUGUUGUAGGGGGCAGCACCAUUAAAAUCCUCAAUUUUUCAGUUUUUUUUUUAUUAUGUAUGAUUUUUACGCCCCAUGUUGAUCAAAUUUAGGUGAAAUAUUCACUUAUGACAUGCCAAUUCCUAUACAUAUGAUAUAUCAGGGUUUAAAGGGUUAAGUUUUUGCAUUUUGAGUGGAACAAUAUACAAAGCUUGUUUGUGUAUGAUUGAGGGGGAGGGUCGCUUGAACUAUUUCCAAGGGGAAAAAUAGUUCUCAAUAUAUUGAUCAAAAUAUCACACAGCACUUUAGUGUAGAAAUUUUAGCAAAUGAUUACUAUGUUUGGUGUCUCCCACAUUAAUUUUUUUUAUUUAAGAUGUGAUAAUGUAAACAGGUACUCCUGCAAAAUAUUUGUUCAGUGGUACAAGCAGUUAAAUAAAAAAAUAAACAGGUGUCCCCAUUUUCUUCCUCAAUAUGUAAAUAUGCAAGAGUCAAUGUUCUUGAUACAGAUUUUUUUC